rnacentral:rRNA from 1 species
AUUGAACGCUGGCGGCAUGCCUUACACAUGCAAGUCGUACGGCAGCACGGGAGCUUGCUCCUGGUGGCGAGUGGCGAACGGGUGAGUAAUACAUCGGAACGUACCCUGAAGUGGGGGAUAACGUAGCGAAAGUUACGCUAAUACCGCAUAUUCUGUGAGCAGGAAAGAGGGGGAUCGCAAGACCUCUUGCUUUAGGAGCGGCCGAUGUCGGAUUAGCUAGUUGGUGAGGUAAAGGCUCACCAAGGCGACGAUCCGUAGCGGGUCUGAGAGGAUGAUCCGCCACACUGGGACUGAGACACGGCCCAGACUCCUACGGGAGGCAGCAGUGGGGAAUUUUGGACAAUGGGCGCAAGCCUGAUCCAGCCAUGCCGCGUGAGUGAAGAAGGCC